GUUAAGCGACUAAGCGUACACGGUGGAUGCCCUGGCAGUCAGAGGCGAUGAAGGACGUGCUAAUCUGCGAUAAGCGUCGGUAAGGUGAUAUGAACCGUUAUAACCGGCGAUUUCCGAAUGGGGAAACCCAGUGUGAUUCGUCACACUAUCAUUAACUGAAUCCAUAGGUUAAUGAGGCGAACCGGGGGAACUGAAACAUCUAAGUACCCCGAGGAAAAGAAAUCAACCGAGAUUCCCCCAGUAGCGGCGAGCGAACGGGGAGCAGCCCAGAGCCUGAAUCAGUGUGUGUGUUAGUGGAAGCGUCUGGAAAGGCGCGCGAUACAGGGUGACAGCCCCGUACACAAAAAUGCACAUACUGUGAGCUCGAUGAGUAGGGCGGGACACGUGGUAUCCUGUCUGAAUAUGGGGGGACCAUCCUCCAAGGCUAAAUACUCCUGACUGACCGAUAGUGAACCAGUACCGUGAGGGAAAGGCGAAAAGAACCCCGGCGAGGGGAGUGAAAAAGAACCUGAAACCGUGUACGUACAAGCAGUGGGAGCACGCUUAGGCGUGUGACUGCGUACCUUUUGUAUAAUGGGUCAGCGACUUAUAUUCUGUAGCAAGGUUAACCGAAUAGGGGAGCCGAAGGGAAACCGAGUCUUAACUGGGCGUUAAGUUGCAGGGUAUAGACCCGAAACCCGGUGAUCUAGCCAUGGGCAGGUUGAAGGUUGGGUAACACUAACUGGAGGACCGAACCGACUAAUGUUGAAAAAUUAGCGGAUGACUUGUGGCUGGGGGUGAAAGGCCAAUCAAACCGGGAGAUAGCUGGUUCUCCCCGAAAGCUAUUUAGGUAGCGCCUCGUGAAUUCAUCUCCGGGGGUAGAGCACUGUUUCGGCAAGGGGGUCAUCCCGACUUACCAACCCGAUGCAAACUGCGAAUACCGGAGAAUGUUAUCACGGGAGACACACGGCGGGUGCUAACGUCCGUCGUGAAGAGGGAAACAACCCAGACCGCCAGCUAAGGUCCCAAAGUCAUGGUUAAGUGGGAAACGAUGUGGGAAGGCCCAGACAGCCAGGAUGUUGGCUUAGAAGCAGCCAUCAUUUAAAGAAAGCGUAAUAGCUCACUGGUCGAGUCGGCCUGCGCGGAAGAUGUAACGGGGCUAAACCAUGCACCGAAGCUGCGGCAGCGACGCUGAUGCGUUGUUGGGUAGGGGAGCGUUCUGUAAGCCUGUGAAGGUGUGCUGUGAGGCAUGCUGGAGGUAUCAGAAGUGCGAAUGCUGACAUAAGUAACGAUAAAGCGGGUGAAAAGCCCGCUCGCCGGAAGACCAAGGGUUCCUGUCCAACGUUAAUCGGGGCAGGGUGAGUCGACCCCUAAGGCGAGGCCGAAAGGCGUAGUCGAUGGGAAACAGGUUAAUAUUCCUGUACUUGGUGUUACUGCGAAGGGGGGACGGAGAAGGCUAUGUUGGCCGGGCGACGGUUGUCCCGGUUUAAGCGUGUAGGCUGGUUUUCCAGGCAAAUCCGGAAAAUCAAGGCUGAGGCGUGAUGACGAGGCACUACGGUGCUGAAGCAACAAAUGCCCUGCUUCCAGGAAAAGCCUCUAAGCAUCAGGUAACAUCAAAUCGUACCCCAAACCGACACAGGUGGUCAGGUAGAGAAUACCAAGGCGCUUGAGAGAACUCGGGUGAAGGAACUAGGCAAAAUGGUGCCGUAACUUCGGGAGAAGGCACGCUGAUAUGUAGGUGAAGCGACUUGCUCGUGGAGCUGAAAUCAGUCGAAGAUACCAGCUGGCUGCAACUGUUUAUUAAAAACACAGCACUGUGCAAACACGAAAGUGGACGUAUACGGUGUGACGCCUGCCCGGUGCCGGAAGGUUAAUUGAUGGGGUCAGCGCAAGCGAAGCUCUUGAUCGAAGCCCCGGUAAACGGCGG
rnacentral:rRNA from 1 species